AUGGAGAGCUACCAGUUAGCAGACAUGUGUUGUAUCAUGCCGGUAAUUGACAACUAUGGCAAUGCCGUCACGGAACGACAAAGCAUUCUAGUUCCUGCAAAUGGUAGCAAAUGGGUUGGACUGAUGGGCAUAAACCCAUGGAGGAAUGAGAAAUACAUCGAACUGUCAGCAGAUUACAAGUCAGCAGGUCAUUUCGCCGGGAACUACACACCUGAAGAUCAGAUCUUGGAUUUUCUCAAGACAAAGGUGCAGGCCUCAGAUGUGCCGUUCAUACACCCCCCAAAUGCAAGUUUCCCUACAGCAUCGUCACAUCUGACUGUGGACAAUGCAAUCUUGCUACUGCAAUGGAUACGCAAUUUGAAGUCAAAAGGUGUACAACUACCAGCUAGUUUCUUGGCUUCUAUGAAAGAAGGAAGUUGGCUGAAGACAUCAGUCGGAUACCUGCCCCCGGCUGAAUCAUUUAUGUCCAGUUCUGAGUGGGGUAAUCUCUUGCAAAAUGGGUCUUCCUGUGUUGAUAUACCAAUGAUCGGUCAACAGUUCUAUCAAAACAAAAUGCAUGCGUACAAGGAGGAACUUCAGGUGAUCGGGGUAAGAUUUGAAUUUGGGGAGGCAUCCGCUUACAUCGGCAGACGGCUCAUGUCGAUGGCUGCAAGCAAUAUGCUGACCAGACAACAUGUAUAUGAGCUGCUUCGGCUGAUUCGGUUUCUUCAACAGAAGGUUCUGUCACCAAGUAAACUAGUCAACAGCGUGAAAGAUGGUCGAUGGAUGAAGAGUACUCUGGGCUACAGGUCUCCUUCUUGCUGUAUAAUAUAUGAUUCAGACUGGGCAGCUGCAUCUUGUAUCAGUACCCAGCCAUUCCUUGAUGUUGGAUUCUAUGGUGAGUCCAUCCUUGACUACAAACAAGAGCUGAAGUUGCUUGGUGUUCAAGUUGGGUUUGAAAACAGUGAAAAGAUUUACAAGCUUGUAAUUGAUAAUUUCAAGUUCAGUUCUUCAUCCAUUACUUCAGAUGCUACUGCACUAAUCCUCAAGUGUAUCCGGUAUGCUAGCCCAUGUGAUGAUUUCUUGAGGAAGCUCAGAGAUUUGAAAUGGCUGAAGACCAAUGUAGGAUUCCGUGCUCCUGGUGAAUCUUUUCUUCUGGAUCAGGAGUGGGAGUGCCUUCUAAAGGUGUUCGACGUAGUUCCUGUAGUUGAUUCUUGGUUUUAUGGGAGUAAGAUCAGCCCGUACAAAGAAGAGUUGAAGAAGACAGGGUUGAUCACAGGAUUUGACCAGGCAUCGAAGACUGUAGCAAACAUCAAGCAGAUGGUCCUGAAGUCAUCGCUUACAAAGGCAAGUGUCCUGGCUCUUCUAGCUUGUUAUCGGAAGCUAAGAACACGCGACCCAAUUCCUGUUGAUCUUUUCAACUGCAUGCGGAGUGAGAAAUGGUUGUGCACAUCACUGGGAUUCAGGUCACCGUCGGAGGCAAUCUUAUUUGAUGAAGGUUGGCAGUCUCUGUCGCCAAUAGCAAGCUUGCCUUUCAUCAAUGAUGGUGACUCUAAUGGUGGUUUAGGCAAAGAGAUACAUGGUUACAAAGCUGAGCUGAAAGAUUUAGGUGUCACAACAGAAGUGAAGGCUCAUGUUGCCAGGCGUACCGUCACUGGUCUCAACAUUUGUGAUAACCCUGUAGACAUUUCUGCAGCUAGGUUUGUCAUCAGUGGUCUCAACAUUCCCGCAGACCCUGCAGCCAUAUCUGCUGCUACCGUGUUGUCACUGCUUGGAUCUGUCAAGAGCUGGCUGGCCUGUACAGCAACAUUUCCCAAGGAAUUUAUGAAGGAAAUCACUAGCUGCAAGUGGUUGAAGACAACACUUGGAUACCAAUCUCCUGAUGAAAGCAUACUCUUUGACCCAAAGCAGUCUUCCAUCUGCAUAACAGAUGGCCCUUUCAUCGAUGAAUCUUUCUAUGGUUCAGAGAUCGCCUCAUUCAAGGAUGCACUGGCGGCAAUCGGAGUAACUGUGGAUGUUCGAUGUGGGCAUGGCCUUGUUGCUCAGCAUUUGAGGAGCCACAAAGAAACUGCUACAUCUCCAGAAUCUACUUGUACCUCAAGGAGUGCAGCUGGGGGCCUGGGAAGAACAAAGAGGGUAGUGACUGGAUCUGGAUACCAAAUGAAAAAGGAGGUGGAGAAUGGGUGA
rnacentral:rRNA from 1 species